rnacentral:rRNA from 1 species
GCAUAUCAAUAAGCGGAGGAAAAGAAACCAACAGGGAUUGCCCCAGUAACGGCGAGUGAAGCGGCAACAGCUCAAAUUUGAAAUCUGGCCCCUAGGGCCCGAGUUGUAAUUUGUAGAGGAUGCUUUUGGUGCGGCACCGCCCGAGUUCCCUGGAACGGGACGCCACAGAGGGUGAGAGCCCCGUCUGGCUGGACGCCAAGCCUCUGUAAAGCUCCUUCGACGAGUCGAGUAGUUUGGGAAUGCUGCUCAAAAUGGGAGGUAUAUGUCUUCUAAAGCUAAAUAUUGGCCAGAGACCGAUAGCGCACAAGUAGAGUGAUCGAAAGAUGAAAAGCACUUUGAAAAGAGGGUUAAACAGUACGUGAAAUUGUUGAAAGGGAAGCGCUCGUGACCAGACUUGGGCUUGGCGAAUCAUCCAGGGUUCUCCCUGGUGCACUUUGCCUCGUCUAGGCCAGCAUCGGUUCGCUGCGGGGGAUAAAGGUUUCGGGAACGUGGCUCCUCCGGGAGUGUUAUAGCCCGUUGCGCAAUACCCUGUGGUGGACCGAGGUUCGCGCAUCUGCAAGGAUGCUGGCGUAAUGGUCACCGGCGACCCGUCUUGAAACACGGACCAAGGAGUCGUCUUCGUAUGCGAGUGUUCGGGUGUCAAACCCCUACGCGAAAUGAAAGUGAACGCAGGUGAGAGCUUCGGCGCAUCAUCGACCGAUCCUGAUGUUCUCGGAUGGAUUUGAGUAAGAGCAUACGGGGCCGGACCCGAAAGAAGGUGAACUAUGCCUGUAUAGGGUGAAGCCAGAGGAAACUCUGGUGGAGGCUCGCAGCGGUUCUGACGUGCAAAUCGAUCGUCAAAUAUGGGCAUGGGGGCGAAAGACUAAUCGAACCUUCUAGUAGCUGGUUUCCGCCGA